rnacentral:lncRNA from 1 species
UUGAUUUCUACUAGAAUGUAGUUAAAUUGGAUUUAGGAGUGUGGAAGGGCCUGGACUUUGAGUUUCUUGGGUUGAAAAACUGAAAGUGUAAUUAAAUGAAAUAUAAAAAGAAAGAAAGAGGUGUCAAGACUCAAGAGGGGAGGGAAACCAGAGAGAAGUGGAGAACACGUGAGAAAGCAAGAGAGAAGGAGCGGCAAAAACAAUAGCGAAAGGAUGAAAUUGAAGGAUUCAUGUGAGAUUUGCGGAACAUUUUUUGUUGUGUUCUUGGAUUGAGGUGAGUUCUUCUCCUUCUUUUUGUUUGUUUUCUGAUCUGAUUCAUUGAAUUGGGUUUUCUCAAAACCCUUUGUUUAAAUUCGAAAAUUAGGUAUUUUGGUUUCACUUAAGUUUGUGGAAAUUCAAUAUCUUUUUGAGAGAGGUUAAUAUGCUCUUUUUGUUAUAAAUUAUAAGUGAAUUGUACUAGAAAAGAAUUUACCAAGUUACAGGUCCAGAUUUGAUUGCUAGUUAGAAUUUUUAUGCAUUUUUGGUUCUCUUUGAAAUUCUGGACUGUUGGUGGGAAAAGGGGCAUAGAAAUUUCAUCUGUUAAUGUUUUGAGCCGAAACUAGUCUCUUUGGAUUCUACUCUUCUUUGUUCAGAUCAACUGUGUUAGGAGGAAUAGCAAUUUCUGCCUUUUUCCAGACUCAAUUUGAGUCGCCGUGCCCAUCAGUUAUGCAGUGAUGUUUCUGCACAGUCCUUAGUAAAAUGAGCAUGGCAAAUUACUUACUGAACCUUUUUAGAUGAUUGCAAAUCCUGGAGAUAGUAGACACAUGGAUGAUUAAUUAGUAUGUUCUGGGUUUUUCGUAAUUUUUACACUAGAUAAGGUGAAACAGCCUCGCAAGUCUGACAAUGUUUUGUGACUAUAUUUCUGAACGUAUAGUCGCAGUUUUUAUUUUUAUAUUCUAAAAUUUAGGAUGUUUCGUUUCAGCUUUAUGAUGUUGAUCUGUAAUACCUAUGGUCAUUGAUGUUCCAUAUUUUUACUGCUUUAUAGAUAUGGGCACACUUUUGUUAUGAAAAGCUAGUCGUGAUAGUUUUGUUACAUGUGGAUAGUGACUUCAGGUUGUUGAGUUAUGGGCGACAUAAUGGUUGAAAUAAAGGCUGGUUGAUGCCUGAUGUGAAUAUUGCCAACUUGGAAGUGUUUAAGUGCAGGUUAUGAGUAAGGGACAAAGAUCCAUUUUGUGGUAGAAACAAAGGAAACUGUCCGAUUUUUAAUAGAAUGGAUGAUAUAGUAUUAUGAAUGUUGAUUGUUUGUUUUGUAUACUCCCUGGCACACCAUGACCCCUGAUCUUUAGGUUAAUUUUAUUGGGCUUUAGGUGUGGCUCGAGACACCUCAUUUAGUGAUAGGGAACUUUUGGCGAAUACCAAAGUAUCCCAACCCACCUAUGGCGAAUACCAGGGUGUGGAUACCCACCUAAGGCGAAUACCUGGUGUGGUAAUUACCCGUUUAUGGCGAAUACCAGGGCGUGGUAAGCCCACUACUCGACCUCUGGUGUAGGCGAGUAGCUUUAACGCGCAAAUGCAUAGAUUGAGCCUUACUUGCGUUGUGGGACCCUAGCUCACAUCCGGGUUAAGAUGGGGACCAGUUAACAGUAGUGGUUGCUCACCUAUGCGCAGGGGGCACAUGGAUGUCUGUGUAAGUCGCAGUAGUGGCGAAGUGACUAUCAUGGUGACCAUGGGAGAAUAGUAUUAUUAUAUUUAAGGCUGAUGUAUAAUAUGUAUAGUAUUAGUAUUAGUUUAUUAUUUGUUGGAGAGCCUAUUUGUGAGUGGUGUUGUAUUUGAUGGUUGAGCAUGUGGUGUACUUUCAAGAUAUGCCUGUGGGGAGAUGGGAACUACUUUGCCUCAAAAGAGGAACUAAAUGCCCUAGAUCCUUGUGGAAGAAGUGUAAUUGAUAAUAUCUGGGGAAUGGAGGGAUUUUAUGCCUCGUUCCUGCUUUUCUUUACUGAAUGGAUGGUAUUCUAUGAGUACUAAUGGUAUAAAUUAGUCUCAAUAUAUGUCAUGUUUUAUGAAUCCAUAUUGUUGACAGGGGGUAAGCCCGACUAACGUUCCUUGCAGGGCAAUGGCUUACCCUAAUUAAUUGAGGAUAUGUAAAAGUAUUUAUAUUAUUAUUUGGGUUAGUAUAAGGAACUAUUAUGUCUCGUUUGAGGAACUAGAUGCCUUAUUCUUGGGCUUUUAAAUUAAUGGACUAUAUGUCUCUUGGGCUUUUAAAUUAAUGGACUAUAUGUCGGAUGUAUAUUUUAUAUGCAUGUUUCUGAUAUACUGUUUUAUGUUGGUUUGGGUCUGGAGAGGACUCAUACCAGUUCGUUGUAUACAAGCUAAUCGAAGUUUUAUGUUUCUGCAUGCUUGGGUACACCCCGAUCUGGGUGUAGGCAGAGAGUAGCAGCAAGACACAUAAAGCGCGCCGACAUGUAGUAGUUAUAGAUACUUUUGUUGUAGUACUUAUGGUGCACUACUGGAUCUUUUGUUGGUGUACAUGUAUGUAUAUAUUUUAGGACUAUGUAUAAUGAGUGAGAGAGACGACACUGUUGAUGUAUAUAUGUAUUUUGGGGAUCCAUGGUAUAGUGGUGGAGAAUACUUUUGUUUUAUAUAUGUUUGUGCAUCGAUCGUUCGUGACAUAUCUUUUUUUUUUUUUUUUUUUUUUGUUCGUAUAUUGACAACUAUUUCAUGAGAGCCAUGGUUGUUAUGGACCCCGCUCACAUCCUAAGUUUUGGGAUGGUUAAAUAUCCAUGUGGCAAGGUGUUUAAUCUUCC